AUUGAACGCUGGCGGCAGGCCUAACACAUGCAAGUCGAGCGGAGCGGCGGACGGGUGAGUAAUGCCUAUGAAUCUGCCUGGUAGUGGGGGAUACCGUCCGGAAACGGGCGCUAAUACCGCAUACUAUCAGAUGCGCCUAGGUCGGAUUAGCUAGUUGGGGGGGGAAAGGCCUACCAAGGCGACGAUCCGUACCUGGUCUGAGAGGAUGAUCAGUCACAAUGGAACUGAGACACGGUCCAGGCUCCUAGGGGGGGCAGGAGUGGGGAAUUUUGGCAAAUGGGCGAAAGCCUGAGCCAGCCAUGCCGGGUGUAUGAAGAAGGCCUUGGGGUUGUAAAGUACUUUCAGCGGGGAGGCGUUACCCGCAGAAGAAGCACCGGCUAACUCCGUGCAAGCCGCCGCGGUAAUU
rnacentral:rRNA from 1 species